rnacentral:rRNA from 1 species
AACGAACGCUGGCGGCAUGCCUAACACAUGCAAGUCGAACGAGACCUUCGGGUCUAGUGGCGCACGGGUGCGUAACGCGUGGGAACCUGCCCUUAGGUUCGGAAUAACUCCCCGAAAGGGGUGCUAAUACCGGAUAAUGUCUUCGGACCAAUGAUUUAUCGCCUUUGGAUGGGCCCGCGUUGGAUUAGCUAGUUGGUAGGGUAAAAGCCUACCAAGGCGACGAUCCAUAGCUGGUCUGAGAGGAUGGUCAGCCACACUGGGACUGAGACACGGCCCAGACUCCUACGGAAGGCAGCAGUGGGGAAUAUUGGAAAAUGGGCGAAAGCCUGAUCCAGCAAUGCCGCGUGAGUGAUGAAGGCCUUAGGGUUGUAAAGCUCUUUUACCCGGGAUGAUAAUGACAGUACCGAGAGAAUAAGCUCCGGCUAACUCCGUG